GCAUGAGAUGGCUCAGUUGGUACAGCAUGAGACUCUUAAUCUCAGGGUCAUGGUCGAGCCCCACAUCAGAUUCCUGCA